UAGGGAAUCUUCCACAAUGGACGCAAGUCUGAUGGAGCAACGCCGCGUGAGUGAAGAAGGUUUUCGGAUCGUAAAGCUCUGUUGUUGGUGAAGAAGGAUAGAGGUAGUAACUGGCCUUUAUUUGACGGUAAUCAACCAGAAAGUCACGGCUAACUACGUGCCAGCAGCCGCGGUAAUACGUAGGUGGCAAGCGUUGUCCGGAUUUAUUGGUCGUAAAGCGAGCGCAGGCGGAAGAAUAAGUCUGAUGUGAAAGCCCUCGGCUUAACCGAGGAACUGCAUCGGAAACUGUUUUUCUUGAGUGCAGAAAAGGAGAGUGGAAUUCCAUGUGUAGCGGUGGAAUGCGUAGAUAUAUGGAAGAACACCAGUGGCGAAGGCGACUCUCUGGUCUGCAACUGACGCUGAGGCUCGAAAGCAUGGGUAGCGAACAGG
rnacentral:rRNA from 1 species